GCCCCCGUGGUCUAGUUGGUCAUGACGCCGGUCUCAUAAUCCGGAGGCCACCAGUUCGAACCUGGUCGGAGGCA
rnacentral:tRNA from 14 species